rnacentral:rRNA from 1 species
GAUGAACGCUGGCGGCGUGCCUAAUACAUGCAAGUCGAGCGAACGGACGAGAAGCUUGCUUCUCUGAUGUUAGCGGCGGACGGGUGAGUAACACGUGGAUAACCUACCUAUAAGACUGGGAUAACUUCGGGAAACCGGAGCUAAUACCGGAUGAUAUUUUGAACCGCAUGGUUCAAAAGUGAAAGACGGUCUUGCUGUCACUUAUAGAUGGAUCCGCGCUGCAUUAGCUAGUUGGUAAGGUAACGGCUUACCAAGGCAACGAUGCAUAGCCGACCUGAGAGGGGGGGCGGCGACACUGGAAGAAGCCCACGUCCCGGACUCCUACGGGAGGCAGAAGGGGGGAGUGUUCGACAAUGGUCUAAAGCCUGACGGAGCAACGCGUCGUGAGUGAUGAAGGUCUUAGGAUCGUAAAACUCUGUUAUUAGGGAAAAACAAAUGUGCAAGAAACUGUGCCCAUCUUGCCGGUACCUAAUAAGAAGGCCCGGACUAACUCCGGC